rnacentral:lncRNA from 1 species
AAGAGAAGCUGAGGACCCCGCACGCUCCCCAGCGCAUGGAGCUGAAGCCACGACCCCAAGGAUCCCAUCCAAGAAACCCUAUUAUGUUCAGUCAUCAGGUCUCCUUGGGCUCCUCUCGGCUGUGAUGGUUUCUCAGACUUGCCUUGUUUUUGAUGACCUGGGCAGUUCUGAGGCGUGCUGGUCAGGUGUUUUGCAGAAUGUUCUUCAGCUGGCAUUUGUUUGCUGAUUUUCCUCAUGAUGAAACUAGGGUCACGGGUUUGGGGGAAGAAAACCACAGGGAUAAGGGGCCAUUCUCGUCACAUAUCAAGGGCACAUACUGUCACCAUGACUUCUCGUUGCUGACGCUGACACUGACCCCCUGGCUGAGGCCGUGUUGGUCACUGUCCAGUUCCUCCUUUGGCCCUUUCCACGCUGUCCUCUUUUGGAAGGAAGCAUAUACCUCUCUGCACAGCACACACGGAAGGGCUGGGGAGUGAGGCUCCGCUCCCUGGAGGCUGAGUGUCCACCUGAUUCGGGAUUCGUCUGCACAGUUCGUCUGUCCUCCCUCGUUUGUGUCCCUCUCCAGUCACCGCUUUCCAGCGCUAUGGACUCAGGGAUACUUCCUUGAGGCGCUGGGUUAUCAUCCACUACUACUUCAUUCUGUUGCUCAGGCCUUUCCAGAUGUGGCCACUGGAGGCGCUUUCCAUUGGCUCCUGCGUCCCUCUGAUCUAUCUCAUCGCUGUGCUUUUGUGGAGCGCAUCCUUCUGAUACGAAGACGCGCCAGACUCCAGCUGUAUAUUCCCUGUCCUCGCCCUGCAAUCAGUCAUUUCUCCCAGGAGCCCUGGUUUCUCUCAUGACACCACGGUGUUAAAAAUGAAUUCUGUGGAGUUCCCCGGUGGCCAAGCGGGUGGGAAUCCAGUGUUGUCACCACUGUGGCUGGGGUCACUGCUGUGGCACAGGUUUCAUCCUUGGCCCAAAAGACCUCUUAGGAAUACAGACAUUAAAAUGACUUACUGUGUGCCACAAUGACUUGCCGCUGUGCCACAGUGGGAACUCCAGUAUCUGCUCUUUAAUUUUACUUCCUUGUGUCAAAGGCUGAAAGAUCUAAUCCUUUUUUUCUAUUGCAAUUCUAUUAAA